ensembl:lncRNA
UGUGUGUGUGUGUGUGUGUGUGUGUGUGUGUGUGUGUGAGAUCUAUGGCCUAUUUCCUUUAAAGUCAAAACCACCGGGAUUUUAGAGUCCUGUAUUAGCGCGCACACACACACACACACACUGAUAGACAGUUCACAAACUGGGCAAAAGACUUACAAUGGUUCAGGGUAGUCCUACAUUCAACAUGUGCUGAUAGUAGAGUACAGUUUGAGCGCCUACUACAGCUGUGUAGUGAGGUAUUAUACUGCGUGUACAGCUGUGUAGUGAGGUAUAGUACAGCAUGUACAGCUGUGUAGUGAGGUACAGUACAGCGUGUACAGCUGUGUAGUGAGGUACAGUACAGCGUGUACAGCUGUGUAGUGAGGUAUAGUACAGCGUGUACAGCUGUGUAGUGAGGUAUAGUACAGCGUGUACAGCUGUGUAGUGAGGUAUAGUACAGCGUGUACAUCUGUGUAUUGAGGUAUUAUACAGUGUGUACAGCUGUGUAGUGAGGUAUAGUACAGUGUGCACAGCUGUGUAGUGAGGUAUAGUACAGCGUGUACAGCUGUGUAGUGAGGUAUAGUACAGCGUGUACAGCUGUGUAGUGAGGUACAGUACAGCGUGUACAGCUGUGUAGUGAGGUAUAGUACAAUGAGGUAUUUGUAUUCUUCUACAGGGAUUUAGUUUUUGCUAUGUCUUUGUUCCACUUUUUAAAUGUUUUUCCAGUUUAGUUUUGUUGGCCUUUCCAGACUUUAUAUGUUCAGUUUUCCUGCCCAUUUUAUUUUCAGACCAUUACCAAUAUCAUGACAUGGGGAAAAAUAAAAUGCGCUAAACAAUACAAAUUUUCAGUAUCAACACAAUAUAUCAAAAGACAGCAGGUUUUAAAAUUUGCUAUCUUGGGUCUCUUACUGGAACAACUGUAAGAACAUACAAAACUUUCCCAAAAUCUCUUCUGGGUUUCCAUACUUUCGAAACUGGCCUGGCAAAUGACUGCCUUUAUAUUUAUUACCUUUCCAGACUUUCCAGAACUGUGCAAGAGUCGGGUUCGAGUUAUUAUAUGAGAGUUUCACAAGCAUUCAUAAAUACAUAGUAAAUACAAUUAUCUCUCAAAUAUUCUACAAUGAUAAUAUUAUCAAGCAGAACAAAGAUAAUUAGUCUAAUAAUUAUUGCAUUAAGACACAGACAAAGUCUUAAAACACAGUGUAGAGCUUAUGUUAGAGCUUAACGGUGCUCAAAUCCCACAUUUUUUAGCUUGGGUUAAACAGCAUUGUGUUUUUAUUACACCAGAAGCUUUACGACUGCUGUCUGCAAUGUCAACUUUCCACAUUCUGCAGGUGAGGUAGUGUUUCACCAUAAACACUGAUGCCCUGAUAAACAGGGCUGUCAGUUCAUUUAUGACAAAGAUUGGUAGACUAGGAAAUGUCAGCUCAGUGGAUACACACUUAGAUAUGGUAUACACUGAACUAGCAGUUUAUUGUGUAAAAAAAAAAAAAAAAAAAAAAAAAACAAUGUUGGUUACUCUCAUGCUGCCUUCAAGUGCAACCAGAAUUGUGGUACAUAUGAGUUUCUGAACAUUUGGUACGAGUUUAUGAAGCUUCAGGAAUUAUUUUGAUACCCAACUUUCCAAACUAUUGACAUUUACAGCAUUUGGCAGAUGCCCUUAUCCAGAACAACUUACAAUGAUCUAAUAUUUUAUAUAACUGAGCGGUUAAGGGUUAAGGACCUUGCUCAAGGGCCCAGCAGUAGCAGCUUGGUGGUGCUGGGAUUUGGACUAACAACCUUCCGAUCAGACAUCAAAUGUCCUAACCACUGACCACUUCCUAGCAGGCAAAGAUUGAGUAAUUGUUUCUUUUUCUAAAUACACUUUACAUCUACUAGUCACAACUUGAAGCAUUAAAACCAGCGUCCAUCUUUAACCACAGGUUUCAGUUUGUAUGUUUAUAUAACUGGGGGACGUUAGAAAGCGAUCAAACAUUAGCAGCAUGAAAAGGGAAUUAUCUCAAAAUAAUAAUAAUAAUAUGAACAGGCCUCAUCAGCAUUUAAUGUGUUAGCCAGACAGCCAGAUAAAAACAUGCCAAAUUGCACGUCACUAAUCUACUCUGUAGUCCAAUCAGCUGCCAAAAACCAAACCCUUUUACAUGAAAUAACCUGGGUCUGUUGAUCUGGCAAUAUACAGCAAGUUAAAGAAAUACUUUGUUUUGUAUUUUUAAAUCAUUUCUGAAGAGUAUGCUCUAUAAAAUGGGAUAUUUUGUUCUGUGACCUUAAAGGCACUCAGGACAGUCGCAGGUGUGUUUGCUUUUCCUGACUACUGAUUAUCAGGAAUAAUCACUCAGUUUGUGGACGUUUGAGGCUAAACGCACCGCGCGCACACACACACACACAGAGAGAGAGAAAGAGAGAGAGAGAGAGAGAGAGAGAGAGAGAGAGAGAGAGAGAGAGAUUCCUGAAGCUUACUCCCCCGUUUCUUCUAGCUCUAAUUCACUAAAACAAUACUAUCACAUGAUAAUAGGAGCUCAGGAUAUUAAGAGAAAAUCUGAGGCCAGUUACCUGUGUAGAAUAUUUUAAAUAUCAGUCAGUAAAUGUCAGUUUAUGGGAAAUGGAAACAUAAUGAAUACUAAGCAUGAAAGAUCAAACACAACGCUCUUCCAGACAAUAGGUGUGUGUGUGUGUGUGUGUGUGUGUGUGUGUGUAAGAAAGUGCAGGUUAUUCCUAUUAUAGUGCAUUAGGCUUAAUUAGUUUAUGACCUUGUUUUAAUCUGUGACAGUGUACAUUAAGAUUACACAGUAACACAACAACUGGAACACUUUCUCAAACUCCCAACACACUUCUUCAGAAAUAAAUGAGUGGUCGAUUUGAAUAACAUUCAACGACUAUUCGGUGAUUGGAAUAACAACUUGACAGUCCGAUGCAUUUUAUAUAUCUGUAUCUGUAUGUCUAAUUCUAAUCCGAUCUGCAUUAUGCAUUGUGCAAUGAAACAAAAGCUUGACUAAUCCCACUGAACUCACCAUCAGUAUCUUCCCCAGAAACUUCCCCGAGCUCCACUUCCGAUUCAUUUGCCUACAUAAACCCGAUCAUACACAGCUCCAAACGCAGUGUCGGAUCUGAUCUGAUCUGCUCUGAUCUCAGAGACUCUGUGUCAUCUGACGGAGGGAAGUUUACAGUACGAGCGAGGAAAGCUGCCUCCUGUCUG